ACCGCGGCCUCCUGCGCCUAGGCGCCUGGCCCUGCGCGCCGCCCGCCGCCCGCCUCCCCCACCCCACGGCCACGGUCGAGCGCCCCUCCUCCCCGGUAGGUUGCCUCCCCGUGGAGCUCGCUGCGCCCGCCCCUGCCCCCCAGCGGCGGAGCUCCGUGCGCGCGGGCGGGCGCCCGUCCCUGCCUCGGCGGGCGCGCACGCGGGCGGGCCGGCGCGUGGCAGCGACGACGGCCGGAGGAGGCCGCCGCGUCCAUGGCGGUAGCGGGAAGAGGAGCAGCUUGGGCCGGCCGCACCUCUCCCUUCCCCCUGCGGCGCUCGGCUUGGAUCUACGACGGCGGCGCGGAUCUGUGGCGGCGGCGCUCGGCGAGGCGUGGACGAUCCGCUCCGAUCCUCCCUCUGCCGCGGCGUCGCAUCCAUCUGCGGGACGGACCGCCGUCGAGCCCAUCCAUCUGCGGGACGGCGUCGCAUCCAUCCAUUUCUGCGGGACCGCCCGUCGCGGCCCGCGACCACGCCGCCGCACCGGACCACGAAGCCCAUCGCGUGGGCUGCGGGCGCGCUGCCCUCGCCUCCUCGCCGGUGUUGGGCGGGCCAUGGUCCGCCGCUCGUACAACAAGCGGCUGCCUCCGGCCUCCCCGGCAUGCUAUGGGUGCCGCCUCCGCCUGUUCGCACGGUCGCGCCUCCUCGUCGGCGUCGCGUGGGGCCACAGUCCAGCGAGGACGCGGCCGCCGGCGCCCUUCCCGGCAAGCCGCGGGCGCCACCCCUGCAACACGGCCGCCUCCCACUCCGGCAUUUGCUAGCAUUUUCUUGCGUGCAAGUCAAAAUGUUUUGAUGUUUUAUUUUUGAUAUAAAAUGGUUGCGUCAAAAUGUUUCUUAUGGAGUAACAUGUUCACUUGUUCAAAUAGUGUGACAUUAGACAUCAGAUGAGAUGAAGGCUGUAGAGAUGAGAUGAUACUGCAUAUGCAUACAAACUGACCAGCGGAGAGAUUUACAUAUCUUUUGAUAUUGAUCUUUCAACAGGCGCUUUAUGCAAUUCAUGGCCGCUCCAAGUGGUCUCCACUCUCCAAUGACGGUGGAAUUCCAGCGAGCUAGGAUGUGUCAGCUUCUUUCGUUAACCCCAGGUCAACCAUCAAAGAUGUUAUGGUUCUGAAAACAAAUGGAUGGGUAAAAGCUUGCUUCUUCUAUUUAAUAUGAUCUCUAUAUAUUUUCAGUAUGUAAUGAUGGAUUCUUCUCACUCCUACUAGCAAGUUGUUAUUGUUGGAGGUGCGUUGGUGGCAGAAAGGAUAGAGCUCGUGGAUUAAAAUUUGGAAGCAUUAUGGAAUAAUUAGUACUUUCUUUUCUUAUCAAUAUGGGAAAUCACUCUGUUAGGUUUUGUUUCUUCCAGCACCAAGGACCCUAGGCAGCAACCAUUCAGUUUCAACAUUGGUCUGUGUUCAAUGGUAAGAGGUAAUUUUUGUUAGAUAA